UACGAAGGGGGCGAGCGUUAUUCGGAAUCAUUGGGCGUAAAGCGCGUGUAGGCGGUCCGGUAAGUCCGCUGUGAAAGUCGGGGGCUCAACCCUCGGAUGCCGGUGGAUACUGUCGGGCUUGAGUACGGAAGAGGCGAGUGGAAUUCCUGGUGUAGCGGUGAAAUGCGCAGAUAUCAGGAGGAACACCGAUGGCGAAGGCAGCCCCCUGGGCUGAGAUUGACGCUCAGGCACGAAAGCGUGGGGAGCAAACAGG
rnacentral:rRNA from 1 species